UGUAUCUCUGAAAUACAUGAUGACGGUGAAAUGAGACGUGGAAGCUGGCAUGAGAAUUCAUUUCCCUUUGCACUGACUGAUAAUUUCACUGGUCGUCAUCAUCGUCAUCAACAAUAAGGUUAGAAUCAGGGGGUUGAAACUGGGAUAGGAGAAAGGUAAUUACUGCCCUUAUAAACGAAGGCAGAAACUACACACAGAUCUCGACGAUCUCGGCCAAUCGGAGAGCCUAAACAAACCAAUUUGAAUUCCCGCAAUUAUGAGCGGUUAUUUAGUGUCGUCAUAUUGAAACGGUAGAAACAAAAACGAAAACGAGCUGCUGCUGGCUGCUUGUCAUCCAGCAGGCAAGGAAUGAAAUUCUUCAACUUUCCGAAGGAUCCAGCACGGGCUGCGGUAUGGGCAGGAAAAGUUGGAAUAUCCUGCACUAUUGAUUCUGCUAGAAGGCUACACAAUAAAUAUUUGUGCAGCAUGCAUUUCCUGGACAGUGAUUUCACUACAGCUGAAAGGGGUGCUGCAGCGAAAACCUUGCGACAGCUGCGUUUGUUGAAGAGGUUGACCACUCUUUGCUAGUUUCAAUAGUGGAACAUGUGUUAACCCUUGGAAAACACUGUGUUGCCCGCUCAACGAUAACAGUCCCCAUAUAGAGCACUGGAAAAGGGCAAGUAUGGGGAUAAAGAGUUGGAUCUUCCUCAAGGAUGGUAAACCCGCCUUUCUUCAACCUCCUCCUUCACAGAAUGGGUGGCUAAUUGACAUCACUGCUGCCCAGCAUCUGGAGGUCACUGAAAGAGGUGGGUUAAACUCUUAUUAGAGGUGCAGCUGCAAUUCUGCAGUUGGGUUAUGGUUGAACAUGUCUGUGCUUCAGCUCUGAGGUGGUUGUAAAUGUAAACCCGUCACUGUGAUUGAAAGAAUUAACAAACUCACGGCCUGUGACUCACCAGCACGAGACUUCAAGUGACUCGUCUGCCAUAAGAGGAAGGAGUUGUUGCUGUACAGUCAUAGCGAGCAAGUCACAGCAUUUCUCUGACGUCCAUUAUGCUGUCCUAUCAUCCAUGCUUUGUGCUUUCAGAUAGCGUUUUCUCUUGAGGUUAUGCCACAAAAAUCUGCAUGUCAAGACUGAAGUGAAGAAAUCUGGGAAUGUCAA